rnacentral:lncRNA from 1 species
GUCAAAUAGGAUCAAUGCCUUCUCUCUACCCUGCAAAUUCAUGUCAAACAGGAUUGAUGCCUUUUCCCGACCCUGCGAAUUCAUGUCAAAUAGGAUCAAUGCCUUCUCUCUACCCUGCAAAUUCAUGUCAAACAGGAUUGAUGCCUUCUCCCGACCCUGCGUAUUCAUGUCAAACAGAACCUGAAAAUUCAUGUCAAACAGGAUCCAUGCCUUCUCAUGACCCUGCCAAUUCAUGUCAAACAGGGUCGAUGCCUUA